rnacentral:rRNA from 1 species
CCUACGGGUGGCAGCAGUGAGGAAUAUUGGUCAAUGGGCGCGAGCCUGAACCAGCCAAGUAGCGUGAAGGAUGACUGCCCUACGGGUUGUAAACUUCUUUUAUACAGGAAUAAAGUUAGGCACGUGUGCCUUUUUGUAAGUACUUUAUGAAUAAGGAUCGGCUAACUCCGUGCCAGCAGCCGCGGUAAUACGGAGGAUCCGAGCGUUAUCCGGAUUUAUUGGGUUUAAGGGGAGCGUAGGUGGAUUGUUAAGUGAGGUGUGAAAUGUUGGGGCUUAACCUGAAAACUGCAAUUGAUACUGGCGGUCUUGAGUAGAGAUGAGGUAGGCGGAAUGUGUGGUGUAGCGGUGAAAUGCUUAGAGAUCAUGAAGAACACCGAUUGCGAAGGCAGCUUACCAAUCUACAUCUGACAUUGAGGCUCGAAAGCGUGGGUAGCAAACAGGAUUAGAUACCCCUGUAGUC